UACGUAGGGUGCGAGCGUUAAUCGGAAUUACUGGGCGUAAAGCGUGCGCAGGCGGUCCGCAAAGUCUGAUGUGAAAGCCCCGGGCUCAACCUGGGAACUGCAUUGGAAACUAACGGGCUCGAGUGUGGCGAGAGGGGGGUGGGGGAAUUCCACGUGUAGCAGUGAAAUGCGUAGAGAUGUGGAGGAACACCGAUGGCGAAGGCAGCCCCCUGGGCUAACACUGACGCUCAGGCACGAAAGCGUGGGGAGCAAACAGG
rnacentral:rRNA from 1 species